rnacentral:lncRNA from 1 species
AAAAAAAAACGAGUAAGGUUGAAAAAUCGAAAAUAGCAGAAACUCUAAAGAAUCCCUAUCAAAGUUACAAAAUUCCUACUUUGCUCUUCUUUGAUUUCGGCCUAAGUUCAAGUUUUUGGGUUUGAGUCCAUUGCUGGAAAAUCCACAACGGGAAGCCCGAAUCUGCUGCCCAACAAAAGGUGUGAAUCCCCUUCUCGUCUCGCUUUCACCUUCUUUCUUUUAUUUUAUCUGAUUAUAUAAAUAUGUUGUUUUAGUUUUAAAUGCAGUCAAUAUUUCAUGUUGGUGCCACUGAAAAUGAGUUUUUGUAUAAGCUUAUAUGUUGUCGACUCUAAAUAAUGAACUUGUACUCGAACUUCGCUAAAGGAUGUGGUUAGUUGAAUUUGAAAUACAGUUGUAUGAGAGUGUACUGUAUUUUGGGUUUCAAGUUUGACCAUAUUGUGGUUAUUUACCCUCGAAAAAUCAAAUUGAAUAUGAUUUCCCUUUUUGAGGUGGGGUGGUUCUUUGAGUUCGAUUUGGGAUAAGUGUGAAACUUUAGUGGCUCGAAUUUUUCUUAUGCUUCCUGUUUCGAUGGCUGAUGGGAUUUUUGAUUCACAAAAAGGGGUGUUCGGGAUUUUUGAUUCACAAAAAGGGGUGUUCAAUAUUUUGGUGGUAUUAAGGUGUAUUGCAUACGUAUUUGAACCUAAGAUUAGUGAUUUUGAUGAGCUAAUGCUGUUGGGAUGUUAUUCUUAAAGGGUCACCCAUUGUUUGGUGGCGUUACGUAUGUGCUUAUGUGAGGAUUAGUGGAUAUAAGCUCUGCCGAUUUUAGUGUGCUUAAUGUUCUAUGUGUUUUAAGUUCGGGAGGUGAUUAGUGUAACAAACUCAAUUUCACACAGCUCUAAUAUAUAAAUUAUACUUCCAAAUCCGAAUACAAAUAAGAAUUCGAUUGACAAAGUAACAAUGGACAAACACUAACGGGAAAUCUACGAGUAACAGAGGGAGAAGGUAAUUAGAAGGAGAUGAGAUAAUAGACCAUUGAAGGGGAGAUGAGAGGAUAUAGACUAAGCCGAAGCUUCAACAUAAUUUACAUGAUCUCUUCAGUAGGGAACUGCUCCCAUUUAAGGUGUUUGCCUAUCCCGGAUCCCAAAGGAAAUCCACUCUUUUGUUGGGCUGUAACUUUACCUCAGGCCCAAGUCCAAAGUUCAUGACCGAAUUCAUAACAAUACCCCCAUCCUCAAUAAGAACCUUGUCCUCAAGGUUCAAUAUAAGGAAUCGAACAAAAAGUAAGUUAAAUUGUGACCAAAGUUUGUUGGUGCAUAAUUGGAUUUGAUAUUCACCAGGUAGCAACAUGCAAUAACCAUAGGAAUCCUCGGUUCCUGCUGUUGUACAAACAUAUGAGUGAUGCUGGUUUGGAAAUCUUUUUGAUCCAAACGCUGCAAGCGUCGUACAACACAAUUGAUAUAUAAAAACAGCUUGCAACUCCCUUGAAUAAUUGCCAGAACCAGUGAGUAGAAUGUUAAACAUCUUCAUGAUAGUGACUGCCUUUUCCAACCCAUAUUUGUGUGGCCAAAAGCAACAACAAAUCACCUUGAAAAAUCAUUGACAUGCACAAGUAGAGGAGCAUAUGCUGAAAGCAUAACAUGAAUGAAUCCAGGAAACCUCUCAAACAUAUCAGAAUCAAGAAAAGGACCGAGACCCAAAAUUAGAUACGAUGAAGUUCGCCUUGAUAUACGAACUACACCAAACAUAGCAAACAAGAGCCCAUCAUCUUUGUUGACCAAAAUAUGUUGCAUCCGUUCUGAGUAUCGUGCAACAAAUGCCUUGAACACCACCUUUAUUUUCUCCUCACUACCAAGCUCUCUCGAUUUAGACAACAAGAUGCCAGGAAGAUUAUGCUCCUGUCCCGUAUCAAUCCAAUUGCAAGAAUUCCACAAGGUUGACAUAAUUAACUUAUCAUGAUCCAAAUCGCCCAAAGCAACACAAUACACAGAAUUUCUUAUAACUCUAAGAAAUAUAGUAAGUAAAUUAGAGCAAGGAUCAAAUGGUAACUCUAAUCCAACUAAGAACAGUUCAAGCAUCUCCUGGAACAUUCCCGAGCCAAGUUGGUUCAAAUGGACAACUGAACUAUUCACUAAAAAGAAUCCACGCAACUUUUUGAUCCAUUGAAAAUUAGUUUGAUCUAUGCUUUUAAAAGUUGAUUAAUUUUUCAUGAAUAUAUUCUUAAAACAUUCUGGUUCGAUUCGUUUUUUUGUCAUUUUUGACAUAUUAAGAUUGUUUUCAUAUUUUACCUUUAAUAUUAAUUAUUUUUUUCUUCAAAUUAAUUUCAAAUACAACAGUAAACAUCAUUUAAUAAAUAUAUUAUAAUAAAAUAGCUAUUUUAAUUGACGGNNNNNNNNNNNNNNNNNNNNNNNNNNNNNNNNNNNNNNNNNNNNNNNNNNNNNNNNNNNNNNNNNNNNNNNNNNNNNNNNNNNNNNNNNNNNNNNNNNNNNNNNNNNNNNNNNNNNNNNNNNNNNNNNNNNNNNNNNNNNNNNNNNNNNNNNNNNNNNNNNNNNNNNNNNNNNNNNNNNNNNNNNNNNNNNNNNNNNNNNNNNNNNNNNNNNNNNNNNNNNNNNNNNNNNNNAUUUUUCCAACUCUACGUAUACUAUAUAUGUCGGCAUGUUGUCGCCUUCCUGUUUUUGCAAUGAUAAAUGAUGAUGCAUAAAGUGUUACUUACAAAUGUUGCAUGCUAAUUAGGGGCGGCUCAACCCUUUAGGAGAAAAGGUGGCUGCCUAAGACCCCAAAAUUUGAGGGGCCUAUUUUUGUUUAGUAAUAAUAAAUUACAAAUUUAAGGAAUAUAUUAAAUACUAUUUAUAGAAAAAAGAAAAAUUUUAUAUAAAAAAAUAAAAUGCAAGGCCUCUGUUUGAUUUUUGCCUUAGGUCAUAAAUUUGCUUAAGAUGAUGUCAUUCUAUGCUUAAUAAAAAAAUAAAAAAAUAAAAAGUUACUUACAUUCGGCUGACAAAAUAUUUCAUGUAUGCUAAGACAUACCAUAUGCUUAAUUAGAAUAGCAUUUGGUUAUAAAUUUUAAUAGUAGCUUUUAAAAAAAUAAAUUCUUUAAAUAUUUGUUUGAUCAUGAAAAAUUAAUCAAAUUUUAAAAGCAUAGAUCAAAUUAAUUUUUAAUGGAUCAAAAAAUUGGGUGGAUUCUUUUUAAUGGAUAAAAAAAAAUUAAAAAGAAAAUUAUAUUUUUAAAAAAAUGACAUGGCCCUCUAAUAAGUUGCCACGUGGCAAGGCUUUUUUUAAAAAUCGACUGUUAAAAAGUAAUGGCAUGGAUGAACCAGUUUUGUAACGGCGAUGGCAUGAAUGAGCCCAACUUUUAACGGAUGGCAUAAAUGAGUCAUUUUUUAUAGUUCAAUGGCAUAUUUGAGCCUUCUCCCAUGUUACUAUUAUCAUCGUUAUUAUUAUUUGCACCACAAUUAUUAUCACUUUAUUGUAAAAUUAUUAUUAUUAUUAUUUAAACAGUUCCUUCACAUGCUAUAACACUUAUUCCAUUUUUCUUACAUGAUUCCAACGUCUUUCACUGAUUUUUCACACACUCUUAAAAGUACAUUUUCAUAAAUAAACUCCACUCCAUAAAAUACAUUUACUUACUCUAUAAUCAUUCAGUUAUAUAAUUAAUUCCACAGAUAUUUAAAUUUCCUUAUAGGAUUAAGAAACUUUAAACUCUUUAAAUGUAUGUGCAAAUUUUAAUACAUAUUUCUACAAUAAUUAUAUUACUCCUUUACAUGCGAUAGCAUCACGUUUGCUAUACCUUAAGUUUUCUUUCCCUUCUGUAAAAAUAAUAAGAAGAAAAUAUGUAAUCAAGGAUUUCUUAUCACCAUUUUAGAAAAUAAUGAAGCAAUAAUUUUUUUCUAAACUAAGUGCUAGGACUAUCUUCGGAUAGGCUCUGAGGGGUGUUUAACACCUUCCCCUCGAGUAACCAAAACUCUUACUCAGAAUCUUGAAAUAUUUUUGAUAGACCAAAAUAGAGUUUUAAAUUAAAAAAAAAAAAAGAUUUUCCUAAUUUUCCUAAAAAGUUAGGUGGCGAUUCUAAAAAAUAAAAUUUUAAAACCCGAGAGUCACGAUAAAAGCCACCACAUGUUGUGUGUUGUUUUGACCGGUUUGAAAAAGGGUGCGACAUAUAUCAACAUCAUACAAAAUUAUCAUGCUUAGGUAAUUUAAUAAUUAAUAUCAUGAUCCAAAUGGCCAUGAGUGAAACCCACACUAAUUUUUCUGUGGGAGAACCAUAUAAAUCGAAUCAUUACUCAAUCACAUAGUCAAUAUUAAGAUGAGAUUAUCAUAAAAUCUACUUAAUAACAAUAAUUCAGAGCAAAUCAUUAUUAAUGUGGAAAUCAAACAACUGCUUAUUGAAAUCUCCAAGACCCGAAAGUCAUCGUACAAGAACUUCUAAAUAAAGAUCAUGUCUAAAAGAAAUAUCCAAAGAUAAAGAAAAAUAAAGAAUGUCUCAUUGCCCGAAGGAUGGACAAGAACUAAUAGAAUGAUUCAUGGUAGCCUAGAGAUAGAGUCUCACCCUUGAAUCAAGAUCUUCUAUCAAUCACUAGAGGUAAGGUCGUGUUUGAGCCUCUGGAACACUUUCUGUACUCAACAAAAGAAGAGUACAGAGUAUUAUCAGUACAAACCACUAUGUACUGGUAGGUAUCAUUUGCCAACUCAUUUAAUAACAUGUACACAACAUAAAUUAAAUAACAAGUAGAGAGACAUCGUCACAUAAAAAAUAUUCAAUAAAUCACUACAUACAUCGAUGACAGACUAGCAAUGCUUUACAAACAACCCGUAAACAACCAUGAAAUCAAUAAUAAUACCAUGAGUAACAAUUAUGUCCUUUCCAACCUCACAAUUAGGACACCAUUAGUUCGUUAUCUACUUAUUAAACUCCACAACCUCUGAAAAUUAAUUUAAAUUUCUACACACACGCUAAGGAACUUAUUUUUGCCCAAUUAGUCAUGACCUGCAGGGGACAAUCUAAGUUCAUGUACCGUACCAGUGUAGUACCCGAUCCUCCAUGAUUAAAUAAUAUCAAUAUCCAUAUCCGUAUCGGAAUGGUACCCGAUCCUUCAUAACCAUAUUAUGUAUGUUUUAUUAGAUUGACACUAUCUUUUAGGAUACAAUAUGAUAUACUAAAUCUAUAAGUGCACUUAAUAUCAUAAGGCAAUUUCAUCAAGUUAUUUUCAAUAAUUAUUUAUACAAGUCUCGAUAAUCCAAAUAUCAUCAAAUUCAAGUAUGUUCGAAGACCAAUCCACAAGCAUCCAACUUAGAAGCAUACACACAGUUAAAUCAAGUCAAAACUCCAAUUGAACCAAAACCUACCUCAGCCAAAGAAUCUAAAUACAAACUAAUUUGAAAGGGCCUUCUCUUCUGUAAAGCAUUCAAUUGGUCAAAACCUGUAUAAACAUAUAAUCCCCAUAAGAAUAUGAAACAGUAGAUUAAAUUUGAAGUGAAAUAGGUCCUUAUUCGACCUCUAAAUUAGAAUUCCUAAGCUACAAAGCCUAAUUCAAUAUCUAAAUCUUCUAAAAUCAUAAGUGUCUCUAACUGUGCAAACACUCAAGGCAUAAAACAAAUACCUGUAGCAUUCCAAUUAUAUUGAUACUCAUGAUGCCAUUAACUUAUUAUUAUAUUUUUUAUUAUUUCUCAAUCAUUAGCCAAGAACAUUCAUCAAUCUAAAUUCCUGCUUCUCUGUACCAGUUGUUGAAAUGAGAUGAAGAUUUCUACACUUAGUGAAGUUGAAGAUAGCACAUUUUUUUAUUGACUUUGCAGUGUAUUGGGCCAGUCCAACUCAUGACACUGCUGGCUCAGGCCUCCUCUCCAGUAUUCAAUGAUAUAUAUUGUUUCUUUGUAUGUCAUAAAUGAAUAAUGGAGUGGAUCUUUACAUAUUUGUUUCUUGUAUUUCAUAGGUAAAUAUUACAUAGGAUAUUUAUAUAUAUAUUUUUAUGUAAAAUAGGACUUUAGAGGCUGUAGAUAAUAGGAAAGGUAGCAUAGGUUUGUUUCACAUCUCACUUCUAUACAUAGGAUACUUUGUAAUAUGUUUAUCAUCGAAUAUAGAAAAGAAAAUCCUCUAAUUUCUACAUGGUAUCAGAGCGGUUGAUUUCUUUUCAUCUUGUCUCAUUUUUCUAAUUUACUAGUUCAAUUAUGUCGACUAGUUCUCAAAUUGUUGAUCCAGUCGGUGAAACCACUCAGCCUGAAAAGACUGCAGUGACUUCUGAAUCAUCCGAUAUCAACAUAGUUGAUCUAUCACAUCUUUAUUUUCUUCAUCCCUCGUAUUAUCCGGGGAUGAAUCUUGUGUCUACUAUUUUUAAUGAAAAGGGAUACAGAGGUUGGAGAAGAGCCGUAAUCAUAGCUCUCUCUACCAAAAAUAAGUUAGGAUUCACUGAUAGAUUUCUGGUUAUUCCUUCUCCCAAUUCAGGACUUCAAAAAGCUUGGACUCGAUGCAAUGACAUGGUACUAUCAUGACUAUUGUUUUGUAUUCUAAUGGUGCAAAGGAUCUCUGAAAAGACCGGGAAGAGAGAUUUGGUCAGACGGAGUUAAGUGAUGUCACUUAGGUAAAAUAUAAGUGUAUCCACUUAUUUCACUAAAAUGAAAAGCCUCUGGAUGAAUUAGAUGCCUUGAAUACUUUCUCUCUAUGUGUGUACAACUAUGAAUGCGGCACCAAAAAAAAAGUACAUAAGGCAUAUCAACAUGAAAGAUUGUUGCAAUUCUUGAUGGGUUUGAAUGAUGUUUUCAUAGAGGUUAGAAACAAUAUUCUUUUGCCUUCCCCUUUACCUUCCAUUGGACAGGCUUAUUCACUUGUAAUCCAAUAUAAAAAAACAAAGGAAAAUCCACACCACACUAGCUUAUCUAGGUUAGUCAGCUUCUUUUCUUGUUUCUAAUCGGCCAGGUGGAAGAAAGUUCAGUGAAUACAAAGGACAGAGAACUAGUUUUGAUAAUAAGAAAAGUAUUAUGAGCUAUAGUUAUUGUAAGAAGCCAGGGCAUUCUCAGGAUAAGUGAUAUAGGAUCUAUGGUUUUCCUGUCGAUUUCAAGUUCACAAAGAAGAGAAAGUUUCAGGAAACUACUCAAGUCAAUAACACCUUUGAAACAAAUUUAGAGCAAUGAAGAAUACAGAAUUAGAUUCUAAAGGAUUGAUCCAAGAUGAUGUGGGAUUGCUUCUCUAGUCACUUCAGCAGCUUAAAUCUACCCAACAAAAUGGUGUUGGUACUAAGGCUUCUUCCAGCAUGAGUUGUCCAAGUAUAUCAAGGUUUUUCAACUCUUAUGCAUGCCUUGUUAAUAUUGAUAGGAACUCUUGGAUCUUAGAAAGUGGGUCCAUAGAACACAUGACACAUAAUAAAACUCUUUUUUCCCAUUUUAAAGUUCUAUCUAGACCAGUGAUGGUAAACCUUCCCAAUUCUCAUAAAGUAAGGGUGACUCGUUAUGGGACAAUUUCUAUUUUACCAAUUUUAGAGUUACAAAAUAUGUUGUACAUACCUUUUUUCAAGUUCAAUCUCUUGUCAGUACACAAGUUGUCUAAACAACUUAACAAGUAUAUCCUUUUCACUCUUACUUCUUGUUUUAUAUUUCAAGGCCCUUCACUGAAGAGCCCACUGGAAAAUUGGUAGAGAACAAGGAGGACUCUACAUACUCAGCUCAAUCCAAGUCAAGUCAAGUCACUCAGAUGCCCCACUAGAGAGUCAAGCCAAGAAAAAAUCUAGUUUCAAUUCAUGUUUUAGUUUUAGCAAGCAAAUUUCCUACUCUAGUUCAAUUCCUAGUUCUUGUUUUGCUUUAUUUGAUUCAAAUAAUAAGAAAAAGUUGUAGCAUUAUAGAUUGGGGCAUAUUCCCUUGAGCAAUAUGAAAAAUGUUUCUUUUAAUUCUAUUUUCUCUUGACAGAAGUUUAUUGAACCUUGUGCUAUUUGCCCCAUGGAAAGACAAGUAAAACUCCCUUUUCCUACUAGCAAUAUCUCAUCUAAUGACAUUUUUUAACAAAUUCAUGUUGACACUUGGGGACCAUAUAAGAAUGUUACACAUGAUGGACAUAGAUUUUUUCUCACCAUUGUGGAUGACUUUAGCAGAGGGGCAUGUACUUUCUUAUUACAUAAAAAAAUCCAAUGUUUUCACAGUCCUUAAAUCCUUUCUAGUCAUGAUAGAGAGACAAUUUCUAAUCAAAGUCAAAAUAGUAAGAACGGAUAAUGCUUUUGAAUUGGGAAGUGGAACUACUCAAUCGGAAUACUUCAAUUCUCAAGGAAUCCAACAUCAAACUUCUUGUGUCUACCCUCCACAACAAAAUGGAAUUGUGGAGAGAAAACACAAACAUUUACUGAAAACCUCUAGAGCUUUAUUAUAUCAAUCUCAACUCCCUAUUGAAUAUUGGGGAGAUUGUCUCUUAACUGCUACUUAUCUAAUCGAAAGAUUUUCAUUGAGAAUAUUGUUUAACAGAACACCUUUUGAAGUUCUUUUCAAUAUAAAGCCAAAUUAUUUAAAUCUCAAGUGUUUUGGUUAUCUAUGUUUUGUUCUACUCUUCCAUCUCAAAGAUCUAAGUUGGAUCCUAGAGCUGUACCCUACAUUCUUUUAGGAUAUCCACAUGACAAAAAGGGAUAUAAAGUCUUGAAUCUAAAUACUUUGAAAAUUCCUGUUUCAAGAGAUAUGGUUUUCCAUGAGGGUUACUUUUCUUUUCAUUCCUCUAAACCAAUUACUUCAUGUUUCCCUAGGCAAAACCAUAUUACUUUAAGUGAUUAAUCAUCUGAGCUAGUCAGCAUCUAUGUACAUCCACAUUAUGUUGGUGUCACUUCAGAUUCUGUGACCUUAGCUCCAGAUACUUUUUCUAAUGAGCCUAUUGUUGUACAUCAUUUUCCCUCUCCUCCUGUGAAUCCUACAUCAGUGCCACAAUUAAGUGUUGAAACUGCUUUUUCUGAUUAUUUGACUAAAGAUCUUCCUCUUAUACCACAAAGUGUCGAACCUAAUUUUUCUCUUAGAAGGUCAACUAGAGAACAGAACGUCCUUACCUAUCUCACAGAUUAUAUUUGCAAUGUUGUGCAUCUUACUGAUAUAAGCUUGUCAUGUUUUACGAAUUCUAUUUCUCCUAUUUUUUUGUUUGUUAUUGAUCUUUCUAUCACUAAUCAAAACCUAUUGGAUUCACUGUCUAAAAUACAAGAACCUACAGGUUAUAAACAGGCAGCCUUGCAUUAAGGUUGAAAAGAAGCCAUGGAC